CAGGUGACACUGAGGUGACACUGGGGUGACACAGGUGACAAUGGGGUGACAUUGAAGUGACAUCGGUGACACUCAGGUGACAGUGAGGUAACACAGGUGACACUCAGGUGACAGGUGACACACACAGGUGACAGUGAGGUGACACUCAGGUGACACUGAGGUGACAGGUGACACACACAGGUGACAGUGAGGUGACACAGGUGACAAUGAGGUGACACUCAGGUGACACUCAGGUGACACUGGGGUGACAUCGGUGACACUCAGGUGACACUGAGGUGACACAGGUGACAUUGAGGUGACAUUGAGGUGACACAGAUGACACUGAGGUGACAAUGAGGUGACACUGAGGUGACACUGAGGUGACACUGAGGUGACACUGGGGUGACAUCGGUGACACUGAGGUGACAUUGAGGUGACAUCGGUGACAGUCAGGUGACAAUGAGGUGACACUGAGGUGACACUGAGGUGACACUGGGGUGACACUGGUGACCAUGAGGUGACACUCAGGUGACACAGGUGACACUCAGGUGACACUGAGGUGACAUUCAGGUGACACUCAGGUGACACAGGUGACACUCAGGUGACACUGGGGUGACACAGGUGACACUCAGGUGACACAGGUGACAUUGGGGUGACAAUGGUGACACUCUCAGGUGUCCCCUGGGUACCUGUAGGCGGUGCCGGGGCCGGGCGGGGUCACGCUGGAGAUGAGAAGAUGAAGAUGAGAGGGGGGAGGGGACAUGGACACGGGCAGGGGACAGGAGGGGACAGGAGAUGACCAUGGAGGUGACCAUGGAGGGGACAUGGAGGGGACAUGGAGGGGACAUGGAGGUGACCAGGAGAUGGUCAGGAGGUGACCAUGGACCGUGGAGAUGACCAUGGAGGGGACAUGGACAUGGUCAGGAGGACCUGAGGUGACAGGAGGGGACAGGAGGGGACAGGAGAUGACCAUGGAAGUGACCAUGGACCAUGGAGGUGACCAUGGAGGUGGCCAUGGACCAUGGAGGUGACCAUGGAGGGGACAUGGACAUGGUCAGGAGGACCUGAGGUGACAGGAGGGGACAGGAGGGGACAGGAGAUGACCAUGGAGGUGACCAUGGACCAUGGAAGUGACCAUGGAGGGGACCAUGGAGGGGACAGGAGGUGACCAGGAGGUGACCAUGGAGGGGACCAUGGAGGGGACAUGGACAGGGGCAGGAGGACAGGAGGGGACAGGAGGUGACAGGAGGGGACCAUGGAGGGGACCAUGGAGGGGACAUGGAGAUGGUCAGGAGGACAGGAGGGGACAGGAGAUGACCAUGGAGGGGACCAUGGACCAUGGAGGUGGCCAUGGAGGGGACAUGGACACGGGCAGGGGACAGGAGGGGACAGGAGGAGACCAUGGAGGUGACCAUGGAGAUGGUCAAGGGGACAAGGGAUGGACAGAGGUGACCACGGAGAUGACCAUGGACCUUGGAGAUGACCAUGGAGGGGACCAUGGAGGUGACCAUGGAGGGGACCAUGGACCAUGGAGGUGACCAUGGAGGUGACCAGGAGAUGGUCAGGGGGACAAGGGAUGGACAGGAGGUGACCAUGGAGGUGACCAUGGAGAUGACCAUGGACCAUGGAGGUGACCAGGAGAUGGUCAGGGGGACAGGGGGUGGACAGAGGUGACCAUGGAGAUGACCAUGGACCAUGGAGGUGACCAUGGAGGUGACCAGGAGAUGGUCAGGGGGACAGAGAAUGGAAAGAGGGGACCAUGGAGGUGACCAGGAGGUGACCAUGGACCAUGGAGGUGACCAUGGAGGUGACCAGGAGAUGAUGGAGAGGACACGGGGAUAACCAAGGUCACCUGGACACCAUGGAGGUGACCACAGACGGUGGAGAUGACCCCGAGGGGGGUCAGGAGAGGACAACCCGGGAGGUCCAGCCCCACC